UUACCCGCUGGACUUAAGCAUAUCAAUAAGCGGWKSWWAAGWARACUAACAAGGAUUCCCCUAGUAACUGCGAGUGAAGCGGGAAAAGCUCAAAUUUAAAAUCUGGCGUCUUCGGGCGUCCGAGUUGUAGUUUAGAGAAGCGUUUUCCGCGCCGGACCGUGUACAAGUCUCCUGGAACGGAGCGUCAUAGAGGGUGAGAAUCCCGUCUUUGACACGGACUACCGGUGCUCUGUGAUGCGCUCUCAAAGAGUCGAGUUGUUUGGGAAUGCAGCUCAAAAUGGGUGGUGAAUUCCAUCUAAAGCUAAAUAUUGGCGAGAGACCGAUAGCGAACAAGUACCGUGAGGGAAAGAUGAAAAGCACUUUGGAAAGAGAGUUAAACAGUACGUGAAAUUGUUGAAAGGGAAACGCUUGAAGUCAGUCGCGUUCGCCGGGACUCAGCCUUGCUUCGGCUCGGUGUACUUCCCGGUGUACGGGCCAGCAUCACUUUUGAUCGUCGGAAAAGGGCGGGGGAAAGGUGGCACCUUCGGGUGUGUUAUAGUCCCUUGUCGUAUACGAUGGUUGGGAGUGAGGAACUCAGCACGCCUUACGGUCGGGGUUCGCCCACGUUCGUGCUUAGGAUGCUGGCGUAAUGGCUUUAAACGACCCGUCUUGAAACACGGACCAAGGAGUCUAACAUGCCCGCGAGUGUUCGGGUGGAAAACCCGUGCGCGUAAUGAAAGUGAAAGUUGGGACCUCUGUCGUGGAGGGCACCGACGCCCGGACCAGACCUUCUGUGACGGUUCUGCGGUAGAGCGUGUAUGUUGGGACCCGAAAGAUGGUGAACUAUGCCUGAAUAGGGUGAAGCCAGAGGAAACUCUGGUGGAGGCUCGUAGCGAUUCUGACGUGCAAAUCGAUCGUCAAAUUUGGGUAUAGGGGCGAAAGACUAAUCGAACYMUGCUAGUAGYUGCUUSMUGCCGAAGUUUUUCCCCUAAGGAA
rnacentral:rRNA from 1 species